CCAUCUACCGAACAUCAGGUAUGCAAAUUCAUCAUCAUUUACUUGUUGUUAGUUAUAUUAUGAUGUAACUCAACAAAUAUCAUUUGUACAUGUAUAUUAGACCCCUCCAGCUACCUUGCCGACGCAUGAACGAGAAGACAGGUUAGACUUUGUCGAAACCCUCUUCGCUAGUGGAGGUAUCGACCAUCACUCGUCACUGUAACCCGAUGGUGAUCGACGACCGUGAGCUUCCAUGUUAUUGUGUUCUAAUACUUGAGACUUUUAUUAUGACUAUGUAUGAGAUAUUGUCUCUUAUUAGUACUGGAUGAUGAGAUGUGUCUUAUUAUGACUAUGGAUGAGACUUUUGUGAUGUAAUUGAUGAGACUAUGGAUGAGACUUUUGUGAUGUAAUUGAUGAGACUAUGGAUUUAAAUAUUGUUACGUGAUUGUGUGUGAGAUGUUUUAUGCGAAAAUAUGUUGUGAUAUAUAACUGUUGAUAUAUUUGUUAUGUUGUGGAAUAUGGUGUAAAAUAUAAACAACAUUUGUAAUGCUAGUCAAAUUAACUUCUUAGAGGCUUAUUAACUUCCUAGGGGCUACAGUCAGCCGUAGGAAGUUAGCGCUACAGUAAGCCGUAGGAAGUAAGACAGCUAACUUCCUAGAGGCUACAGUAAACCGUAGGAAGUUAGUCAGCUAACUUCCUAGGGCUACAGUAAGCCAUAGGAAGUUACUCGUAGAAAGUUAGUCAGCUGACGGCGCUGACGGCGUAAAACUACUAACUUCCGAGAGGCUUAUUAAGCCGUAAGAAGUUAGCUAACUUCCUUAAGCCCUCUAGUAAGUUAACCUAACUUCCGUCAAAAUUUUUUCGAGAGCCAAACUUCCGACGGGAUGGCUUAACUUCGGAGAGUUUCGCUAACUUCUUAGAGUUUAGGCUCUAGGAAGUUUACUAUUUUGGUGUAGUGUCAAUCGACCACUUAGACCGGUUGAGUGCUUCUUCUUAAUCUCAAGGAUCACUCAGACCCCGCAAGGACCACCACACACUUAGGUGUCUCUUGCUAGCUUUACAAGUCACUGAGAGUUUAGAAGGAGAUGAAGAAAGCACGAUUAAAAGCCAAGAAACAAGAGCAACAAGAAAAGACACAAAAUCACACUCUCUCAAGUUACUAAUCACUAAUAAUCACUAUUCACAAUUAUUACACUUGGAGAGAUUUGGAAGCUUGAAUGUGUCUUGAGAUGAAGUGCUUGCUCUUGUAUUGAAUGAGAGUGAAUGGGAGACUUGGGUCAAAUGAAUGGAGGUGGUUGGGGUUGUAUUUAUAACCACCAACCACUUCCUAGCCGUUGCCUCGUUUUUGCCAACUGUGGAAUGGAAGGCUUGGGUCUAAACUGUACUAUUUGCAGUAGAGAAAUGAGCGAGGGUCUAGAUCUUCACUUAGCUCUCUUUAGGUCCGCCCCUGGUGAUAGCGUCCCCAUCAUGCGCAGUUUUGCACGUUUAGGUUAAUAGUUUGCUAUAAUCAAGGUUUUAGGUUUAACUGUCCACCUUCGCAUGCACAGUUUGGUACUUUGUAAAAAUCCUCUUCAUCCGCUCCAUGCUAAAGCAGAUUUAAUGUCUUUAGGUCGUCGUAUCUUCACAGUUCAAAUUUUUUAUUUAAAUUAUUUUACAUAAAAAAUAGUAGACUGAAAAAGCUGAUUCGACACAACCCUAGAAUAGUUGUGGCUAUGAUUUUUGGCCUGAAUUUGUUUUUUUUGUUCGGCUUAAGAAAUAUGUCUAGUAGCUGCCUGUCUAGUUUGCCUAGUGUUUCGAAAAAAAAAUGCUCACAUAAUAUUGCAAUUUAUUUAGACAUUCUUAUUACACGAAAACUAUGGCAUCCUAUAAUUUCAUUUAUACACUAUGCUCUGUACGUAAAACUAAAAUACUGGAUAGGCUAUUCUUAGAACAAGAUAUGCAAUUUUGACAUCGAUGCUUAGAAUAAGAGAUGCAAGUCUGUACUAUAUAUACAAUAUCAGUUUCAAUAGCUGUUCCAUGUCAUUUUUCUUCCAGCUUAAUACAAAAAUAGAGUAAAAUUAUAAAUAAUUUAAAAAUUUAAAUUUUAGUUAUUGGCUCC
rnacentral:lncRNA from 1 species